GAUGAACGCUGGCGGCGUGCCUAAUACAUGCAAGUAGAACGCUGAAGCUUGGUGCUUGCACCGAGCGGAUGAGUUGCGAACGGGUGAGUAACGCGUAGGUAACCUGCCUGGUAGCGGGGGAUAACUAUUGGAAACGAUAGCUAAUACCGCAUAACAGUCGACAUUGCAUGAUGUUGAUUUGAAAGGGGCAAUUGCUCCACUACCAGAUGGACCUGCGUUGUAUUAGCUAGUUGGUGAGGUAACGGCUCACCAAGGCGACGAUACAUAGCCGACCUGAGAGGGUGAUCGGCCACACUGGGACUGAGACACGGCCCAGACUCCUACGGGAGGCAGCAGUAGGGAAUAUUGGUCAAUGGGCGAGAGCCUGAACCAGCCAAGUAGCGUGAAGGAUGACUGCCCUAUGGGUUGUAAACUUACUUUUA
rnacentral:rRNA from 1 species